UUUUGCGAUUGAUGGGGUCAUUUAAGUUUAUGUUAAGGGCCCAUAGCUCAGGCGGUUAGAGUGCACCCCUGAUAAGGGUGAGGUCGGUAGUUCGAAUCUACCUGGGCCCACCAUUCAGUCAGGUAAGGGGCCGUAGCUCAGCUGGGAGAGCGCCUGCUUUGCAAGCAGGAUGUCAGCGGUUCGAUCCCGCUCGGCUCCACCAAUUGCGAAUUUAUAGUUUUUUUGUUCUAGGGAUUUUUUUUA
rnacentral:tRNA from 1 species